rnacentral:rRNA from 2 species
CCAGCGGAUAAUGCCGGGGACUCAUGGGAGACUGCCGGGGUCAACUCGGAGGAAGGUGGGGAUGACGUCAAGUCAUCAUGCCCCUUAUGUCCAGGGCUUCACACAUGCUACAAUGGCCGGUACAAAGGGCUGCUAAACCGUGAGGUGGAGCGAAUCCCAUAAAGCCGGUCUCAGUUCGGAUCGGGGUCUGCAACUCGACCCCGUGAAGUCGGAGUCGCUAGUAAUCGCAGAUCAGCAACGCUGCGGUGAAUACGUUCCCGGGCCUUGUACACACCGCCCGUCACGUCACGAAAGUCGGUAACACCCGAACCCGUGGCCCAACCAGCAAUGGGGGGAGCGGUCGAAGGUGGGACUGGCGAUUGGGACAAAGUCGUAACAAGGUAGCCGUACCGGAAGGUGCGG